rnacentral:lncRNA from 1 species
GCAGACGGAUUUCUGAGUUCGAGGCCAGCCUGGUCUACAGAGUGAGUUCCAGGACAGCCACCAGGGCUAUACAGAGAAACAGUGUCUCAAAAAACAAACAAACAAAAAACAAAACAAAAACAAAAAAAAACAGAAAGAAGAAAGAGAGAGAGAGAGAAAGAAAGAGAAAAAGAAAGAAAGAAAGGACAAGGGAGGAAAGGAAGCUCUCUGCUGUGUUGUGAGAGGUGCUUUCUUUCCCAAGCAGAUCCCUGGGGCUUGCUGGCCAUCCACGAUCACUUGCUUGAGCACUGCAGGUCAGUAAAAGACACCGCCAAAAGCAAAUGAGAAACAGCCAGAUGGCUCCUAUGAAAGCCUUGGGAGAAACUGAAGGUUGACAGGAGAGAACUGACCCCACUAAGCUGUCCUCUGGUCUCAACAGGAGGGCUGUGGUAAAUGAACACGCACAUACACGUAUAUACACCACGCCCACACAAACAUAUUCCACAAUAGCAAUACCGACUGCAUAGGCUGUUGAGGGUUUUAAAUGAGGGGCCAGUAAAGUGGCUCAGAGGCUUAAGGUACUUGCUGCCAAGCCUGACAACCUAUUUAAUCCCUGUGACCUCGUUGAGGAUGGAGAGAACUAGUUCCUACGAGCUGUCCUCUGUUCUCCACACAUACACCGUUGUACACACAUGCGUUCAUACAAACACAAACUAGUAUUUAAAAUUUGUGUUUGUUUGUUUUCAAGUGGGAGUUUCUCUGUAUAGCCCUGGCUGUCCUGGAACUCGCUCUGUAGAUAGGAUGGCCUCAAACUCAGAGAUCCGCUUGCCUCGGUUUCCGGGAUGCUGGGAUUAAGGGCGAGCGCCACUACACCUGACUAUUUUUCAUUUUUCAAACAAGCUGAUAUGUUCAAAGUUCAGGUGAAGAUGCAAAACCCUUUACAGCUCUCCUGGUGUUACACGGAUAGCUCUGCACAAGGGCUCAGCCGCAGCAGCAUGUGCACUCUGAUGGCCAGCGAAUGCUUGCAUCUCAGCCUCUCCCUGGAUCCAUAACGCAUCCCAUAUGAACCUAAGAGUCGCCUGCAGCCAUCUGGCCAGAACCGCGCCUCUUCGUCUAUCCCAUGCUCCUCGUGUUCAAAUGAACUUCUCUUGUUUUCAUGGUCAUUGUCAAAAGCAAUUUGACGAAUCCUUU